GGCGGCCCCCACCCCCACCCUCGGAGGUUGUGGGGGGAAGGGAGGAAGGGAUCGUCCAGCACCCCUUUCUCGUUUAACGCGGGAAACUGAGGCACGGAGAGAGGACGGGACCUGCCCCCCGGCCCUCCCCAGGGCCGUGACAGACUCGGGGGUCCGGGCACAUCUUCAGGGUUUGGGGCUUGUAGUGAUCAAGCUGAGGGAGUCCGGGCAGAGCCGGAGCAGAGCCCCAGCAGAGCCUGCUUUAUCCGCAGGGUGGCUCGGUUCAGCAACUCAACAAAGACUAAGGCUUGGAAGAAUUUCAGUCUGGCUUAAGGAUCCUUUCAGUAAACACAUAUUUACCAGUCUUCCGGCAGUCUCAAGCAGAUGUCAGCUCAGCCAGAAUCCUGGAAUCAUCUUUCUGAGAGCCAGAAUGGGAAAAGAAGGCAGUCUCCAAGAUGUGGCUGCUAUAGAGAAAAACAUCUUGAACAUUUAUCAUUGGUAGUUAUGUGUGAAAGUACAUCAAAUGAAGUAUAAUUGUGAUGAUUGGUACAUAGUCCUUUGAAGGAAAGGAGAAAAAAAGCAACUAAAAUUCAAGCUUAAAUUUAUUUCAUAAAUUCAUAAGCUGUCCAAGACAGUCAUGAAUAUUGCCUUUGUCUGUUACAAGAGUACCCUCACAAAGACCAGCCAUAGUAUGCAUCACCCCCUGGAGAUUAUGUGUCACAGUCUUUGAGGAUCCACAAGCAAGUUCAGUAAUCACUUUCAGGAUAAAAGGUUCCUGUAACCAUAGUGACCGUUGAAGAAAGAUGCUCAUUCCUACAGGAAGUGUCAUCAUAGCCAGGAUUCCGGAAUCCUGCACAAGGUGUAAAGCUAUGGACCAGAAUCCCCUUGUUUAAAAUGCCUCAUAAAAUCAUAGCUGGAAUACAUUUAAGAAGCCAUCUAACCCAAGCCUUACCUGAAGUAAGAAUUUUCUAUUCAGCAUCCUUGACAAGUGAAUUCAUUUUCUCCUUGAAGACUUCCAGUGAUUGGAGAACUCACUACCUCCAAAUCAAUCUAUUCUAUUUCCAUAUAGCUCUAAUAAUUUGGAAGUUUAGGAUUUAGAUGUGGGCAGGGACCUUAGAGGUCACCUAGUUGAACUCAUUUUAUAGACCAGGAGAAAGUUAUUCUGAAUUUCCUUUGAAAUUGAGUGUUCUAUUCUGUUUGGGUAAUUUGUAACACCUCAUAUCAAAGUGGGAAGGAAGCUAACAAUAUGAAGAUUUUCCCUUCCAGACUAACUCCUUCACUGGUUAAUCCAGUCAGCUGACGAGCUUCUCUGUGGGUCAGGCACUGGUGGUGGGAGAUAUUAGAUAUAUUCAUGGGGUCCUUGCCCUGGAGAAACUUGGAGAGACAAAAGUAGUUCAUAAACUACCCUGGGGGUACAUGGGACAGUAAUAGACAAGGAAAAGAUAGGCAAUUCAGUGUUUAGUUUGCUUUCUCUUCCAAGGAUAGUAGUCUUCAAAAAGAAUAUACAAGUAUACAAUAGGGAGUGAAAACACAAGAUAAGUGAAGAGAUGUUAGUAAGAGAGCACACAGAUGCCAUCAAAAACAAAAUUCCAGAGUUGGAAGGAACUUCAGGCCAUCUAGUAUAAGCCACACUUGAAAAAGAAUCCUCUUCUACCAUAUACUUGGUCAUGCAGCCUUUGCUUAAAAACUUCAAGGGAGAAUCCACUACCUCCCCAAGCUCCCUCUUAACACUUUGGGGUAGCUCUGAUUGUUAGGGAGUUUUCCUUCUGUUGGGCCUAAAUUUGCCUCUUCACUGUUGCUUCUAGAUCUGCCGUCAGGGACCUCCCAGAACAAAUCGAAUCCUUGUUACAUGUGACACACGUUGAGGUGGUUGAGGAGAGCUUUCAUGUCCUCCUUAAGUCUUAUGUAGGCCAAACAUCCCUAGUUCCAGCAACUGAUCAUCAAUAGCCUUCCUAAAAUACGACACCCAGAUCCAGAUACUUCAAAUGUGACCUGUCACCUUCUUAUGACAACACUGGGCCUCUCAGUACAGCCUAAGAUUGCAAUGUGUUGGGUCAUACUGAUCUUUGUAUCACCAAACCCCUCAGAUCUUAAGAAGAACACAUAGUCAGUCAUGCCUCCCCCAUUUUCUGCCUAUGAAGUUGACUCAUUUUUUGAAUGUAGAUGUAUAACUGCAUAUAUCUCUACCAAAUUCCAUCCUCUUUGAUUCAGCCCACAUUGUCUAGCUUGUCAGGCUCUUUUUAGAAUGUGACUCUGUCAUCCAGUAUGGUAGCUAAUAUUAGCCUUAGGUUUGGGUCAUCUGCAAAUUUAUUAAACAUACCAUUUAUGUUGUUAUUCAAGUCACUGAUAAAAAUGGCAGACAGCACAGGACCAAGCACAGAUCUCUAGAAUGCUUCCUUGGAGACCUUCCCAAGUUGACAGUGAAUCAUUAAUGACUACUUGGGUUUAGCCAUUCAACCAAUUCUAGAUCUUUCUAAUUGAACUACCUUCUAGCCUGCAUGUCACUCACUUCUACAAAUAUAAUAUUCAAGACUUACUCAGGGGGCAGCUAGGUGAUGCAGUGGAUAGAGAGAGCACCAGCCCUAAAGUCAGUAGUACCUGAGUUCAAAUCAGGCCUCAGACCAAAAAACACUUGACACUAGCUGUGUGACCCUGGGCAAGUCACUUAACUCAAAUGCCUAACCAAAAAAAAGAUUCUUUCCUAAGAUCUAAGUAAACUGUAAAAUUCCCCUGACCUUCCAGUCUAGGAACCCUGUCAAAAGCAAUGAGUCCAUUCUGGUAUGAUCUAUUGAUAUCACAGGUAACCAAGCUCUGUAUGAUUAUUGAUUCUUUAAAUAACUAAUAGUAUAUUUUAAAAUUUGCCAAGGAAGUUAGACUCAUUGGCCUGUUAAUUGGCAAGACUUUUUGAAAACGAACCAUUUAUUAUGGGGCAGCAUAGUACAUUUGAGAGAGUCGUCUCCACUAACUUUCGAAGAUUACUGAAAUCACAUUUCAAAUUACUGGCAUCACAUUUGCCAGUUCUUUUAGGCGUAUUAAGCUCAACGAGCUGAGCCAGGUAAGGAAAGCUAUGAACAACAGGGGCUCUGGGCCUUUUUAAAGGGGUAGUUGGGAGAUACUGUUUGGGAUGGAUGGGACAAAGAUAACUGAUGAAAGAGAACACCUUGCUGCCCAACUCUUAAUUUUACUUCUGUUUUCUCUGCCGAGAAAAUGACCUUUGAUUUGGAAAGGGCAAUAAAAAUAACUAAUGAGACGCUGCUAUCGUAGGU
rnacentral:lncRNA from 1 species